UGUGUAGGCGGUUCUUUAAGUUUGGUGUGAAAUCUCCCGGCUCAACCGGGAGGGUGCGCCGAAUACUGAGGGACUAGAGUGUGGGAGAGGAAAGUGGAAUUCCUGGUGUAGCGGUGAAAUGCGUAGAUAUCAGGAGGAACACCGGUGGUGUAGACGGCUUUCUGGACCAUAACUGACGCUGAGACACGAAAGCGUGGGUAGAAAC
rnacentral:rRNA from 1 species